CGGAGGGUGCGAGCGUUGUCCGGAAUCAUUGGGCGUAAAGGGCGCGUAGGUGGUGGGGUCAGUUCGUGGUGAAAGCGCGGGGCUCAACUCCGCGUCGGCCAUGAAUACUGCUUCACUUGAGCACUGUAGAGGCAGGCGGAAUUCCGGGUGUAGCGGUGGAAUGCGUAGAGAUCCGGAAGAACACCGGUGGCGAAGGCGGCCUGCUGGGCAGUGGCUGACACUGAGGCGCGACAGCGUGGGGAGCAAACAGGAUUAGAUACCCUGGUAGUCCACGCCGUAAACGAUGGGCACUAGGCGCUUGGGGGAGCGACCCCCCGAGGGCCGGCGCUAACGCAUUAAGUGCCCCGCCUGGGGAGUACGGCCGCAAGGCUG
rnacentral:rRNA from 1 species